GUGUCCAUAGCAGACGAGCAGCAGCACAGAAGAGAUAAAUCAAAUCAUUUACCACAUUAACAUUACAGGUAGCAUUAGCCUCCAAGACAUUUACAUAAUGACUUACUGCGCUAAUAGCAGGUAGCAUUAGCCUCCAAGACAUUUACAUAAUGACUUACUGCGCUAAUAGCAGGUAGCAUUAGCCUCCAAGACAUUUACAUAAUGACUUACUGCGCUAAUAGCAGGUAGCAUUAAUAGCAGGUAGCAUUAAUAGCAGGUAGCAUUAGCCUCCAAGACAUUUACAUAAUGACUUACUGCGCUAAUAGCAGGUAGCAUUAGCCUCCAAGACAUUUACAUAAUGACUUACUGCGCUAAUAGCAGGUAGCAUUAAUAGCAGGUAGAAUUAGCCUCCAAGACAUUUACAUAAUGACUU